rnacentral:rRNA from 1 species
GAUGAACGCUGGCGGCGUGCCUAAUACAUGCAAGUCGAGCGAACAGACGAGGAGCUUGCUCCUCUGACGUUAGCGGCGGACGGGUGAGUAACACGUGGAUAACCUACCUAUAAGACUGGGAUAACUUCGGGAAACCGGAGCUAAUACCGGAUAAUAUAUUGAACCGCAUGGUUCAACAGUGAAAGACGGUUUUGCUGUCACUUAUAGAUGGAUCCGCGCCGCAUUAGCUAGUUGGUAAGGUAACGGCUUACCAAGGCAACGAUGCGUAGCCGACCUGAGAGGGUGAUCGGCCACACUGGAACUGGGACACGGUCCAGACUCCUACGGGAGGCAGCAGUAGGCAACCUUCCGCAAUGGGCGAAAGCUUGACGGAGCAACGCCGCGUGAGUGAUGAAGGUCUUCGGAUCGUAAAACUCUGUUAUUAGGGAAGAACCAAUGUGUAAGUAACUAUGCACGUCUUGACGGUACCUAAUCAGAAAGCCACGGCUAACUACGUG